GCAAACGGGAUUAGAUACCCUGGUAGUCCACGCCGUAAACGAUGAGUGCUAAGUGUUAGAGGGUUUCCGCCCUUUAGUGCUGAAGUUAACGCAUUAAGCACUCCGCCUGGGGAGUACGGCCGCAAGGCUGAAACUCAAAGGAAUUGACGGGGGCCCGCACAAGCGGUGGAGUAUGUGGUUUAAUUCGAAGCAACGCGAAGAACCUUACCAGGUCUUGACAUCCUCUGAAAACUCUAGAGAUAGAGCUUCUCCUUCGGGAGCAGAGUGACAGGUGGUGCAUGGUUGUCGUCAGCUCGUGUCGUGAGAUGUUGGGUUAAGUCCCGCAACGAGCGCAACCCUUGAUCUUAGUUGCCAUCAUUAAGUUGGGCACUCUAAGGUGACUGCCGGUGACAAACCGGAGGAAGGUGGGGAUGACGUCAAAUCAUCAUGCCCCUUAUGACCUGGGCUACACACGUGCUACAAUGGACGGUACAAAGAGCUGCAAGACCGCGAGGUGGAGCUAAUCUCAUAAAACCGUUCUCAGUUCGGAUUGUAGGCUGCAACUCGCCUACAUGAAGCUGGAAUCGCUAGUAAUCGCGGAUCAGCAUGCCGCGGCGAAUACGUUCCCGGGCCUUGUACACACCGCCCGUCACACCACGAGAGUUUGUAACACCCGAAGUCGGUGGGGUAACCUUUAUGGAGCCAGCCGCCUAAGGUGGGAC
rnacentral:rRNA from 1 species